UCGAGAAUCUUCCGCAAUGGACGAAAGUCUGACGGAGCGACGCCGCGUGCGGGAUGAAGGCCCUUGGGUUGUAAACCGCUGUCAGAGGGGAUGAAAUCUUCGGAGGUACUCCUCCGAAGUUGACAGAGCCUCAAAGGAAGCACGGGCUAAGUACGUGCCAGCAGCCGCGGUAACACGUACUGUGCGAACGUUAUUCGGAAUCACUGGGCUUAAAGGGUGCGUAGGCGGCGAAUCAAGUCAGGUGUGAAAGGCCUGAGCUCAACUGAGGCAUUGCGCUUGAAACUGAUUUGCUUGAGUAUCCCAGGGGUGUGCGGAACUGCCAGUGGAGCGGUGAAAUGUGUUGAUAUUGGCAGGAACACCGGAGGCGAAAGCGGCACACUGGGGGAUAACUGACGCUGAG
rnacentral:rRNA from 1 species